GGGGGUGACUGGUUAUUGGUUGAAAUGUCAUUCGGGAAGUGGUUGGGGCAUAUUCUACAACUUGUAUCAGCUAAAAGUUGUACAUACGAUACGAUGUAACCAACGUGCUACAACUACAAGAUAGCAACUCUGAACAGAAACGGCAUCAAUACUGAGAUUUGAAAGCACGUCUGACUAAACCAAACUGAAGUAUACUGCUUCCUUCAGAGGCCAUUAGAGAAUAUCGUGACAGGGUGGGAUUUCUUAAAGAAAAUGGCUUCCAAACAUUCUCUCCAAUAAGAUGAUUUAUCCUGUGUCAUCUUCAGGGAUCCAAUACUCUUGUAGAGUAGCCACAUAUUCUGUAUAGACCGUCUGAAGGAAUUAUGGAGACAAAAAGGCAUCUCGGGAAUGUCCCGUUUGCAGUAGAAGAUCCUCAAAGGCGGAACUCACAACUACAUUGAAGCCUUUACAGAUGAAGUUGAAGGUCUUUAAAGAAGUAAAACUAACCUGUGAUGAAACGGCAAAGUACAUUAAGCUACAGGCCCAGGACACAGAGGCAGAAUGAGAAGGAGUUUGAGAAGCUUCACCAGUUACUUUGAGAGGACAAUGCAGUCAGACUAGCUACUCUGAAGAAGGAAGAGAAAAAGAAGAGGGAGAUGAGCGGAGGGAUAUCGUCACUUUCAGAUACAGAGCCGUAGAGAAGGAGCUGAAAGCAGAAGACGUCUCAUUCCUGCAUAACUAUAAGGCCACAGUGAAAAGCUGCUGUGACUCUGAACCCCAAGACUGCUCACCCAAGUCUCAUCCUGUCUGAGGAUUUGACCAGUGUGAGAUUCGGUGUGGCUCAAAAGCUUCCUGACGUCACAGAGAGGUUUGAUCGUGCAUUUGUCCUGGAUUUUGAGGGCUUUAACUCAGGGACACACUUCUGGGAUGUUGAGGUCGGGAAAACGCAUGGGCUCUGGGUGUCUGUACAGAGGAAGGGGCGUAUACGCAGUGGAUUAUAAUUCUGAAGGUGAAUACUCAUCAGAAUCCCCACCAAAGCCAACCAUUCCCCUCACAGUGAGACAGACACCCCAGAGGAUCAGAGUGAAGCUGGACUGGGACAGAGGAGAGCUGUCAUUCUCUGACCCUAUUAAUAAAACAACUACACACAAUCACACAAGUCUUUCCUUGCUUUUGUAACUUCUCUAAACGGAAGCCUCUAAAGAUCGUGCCAUGACAAUGGAAAAAUAGUUAGAGCUGAUAAUGUUUCUUACCAUACAAUGUUGAAUCAACCACCUAGCUACUGCUUGAAAACAAGUUAAGAUAUUAUAGUGACUUGAUCGAUUUGAACUUUAUUCAAAAAUGGACACCUAGUACUCUGCCCUAUACCUUAAAGACAGUCAUUGAACACUAGUCACUUUAAUUAUGCUUACCUACUGUUUUACCCACUUCAUAUGUAUAUACUGUAUUCUAGUUAAGGCUCAUCCUAUAUAACUACUGCUGUACACACCUUUUCUAUUCAUAUACUGACUAUACAUACCAUUAUUUUUUAUAUAUAUGUAUUCCGGACUCUGAUAUUGCUUAAUUUUUUGGGGGAGCGGGAUUUGUGUUUAUUGUAAGGUAUUACUGCACUGUUGGAGCUAGAAACAUAAGCAUUUCGCUGCACCUGCGAUAACAUCUGCAAAAUAUGUGUAUGCCACCAAUAACAUUUGAUUUGAUUUAGUCUAAGCUUAGUGGAGUAUAAACCUGUUAUUUCUUUGUCUUAGAUAUGUUUGAUUUGUUAAUCAUUAGCUCUUAUUGUCUUAAGAAUACAGUUAUGUACAUGACUGCUGAUCAAUUACAUAUAAAUACAAAGCCACACUAACUGUCAUUCCUUAUUCUAUGAUUAAAGCAAAUACAUGCUA